rnacentral:rRNA from 1 species
AGUUUCCGAUCCUGGCUCAGGACGGAACGCUGGCGGGAUGCUUUACACAUGCAAGUCGAACGGCAGCACGGACUUCUGGUCUGGUGGCGAGUGGCGAACGGGUGAGUAAUGUAUCGGAACGUACGUAGCGGGGAUAACGGCGCAGCAGCUAAUACCGCAUACGCCCUUCGGGGGAAAGCGGGGACCUUCGGGCCUCGCACUAUUAGAGCGGCCGAUAUCGGAUUAGCUAGUUAUGGGGUAACGGCUCACCAAGGCGACGAUCCGUAAGCGCCGGUUUGAGAGGACGACCAGCCACAAGUCGGACUGAGACACAAAAGCGGCCCAUGACCCGCGUUGAGGCGUGAAAGCAGUGGGCACCUGACAAUGGGGGAAAACCCCGAUCCAUGUUUUCAUCUCAUGCAAAGUGAUGAAGGCCUUCGGGUUGUAAAGCACUUUGGCAGGAGAAGAAACGGCACGAUAAUACCCCGUGCAACUGACGGCAGCGCCCGGCAGAAUAAGCACUGGCCGGGAAUCACGCCAGCAGCCGCGGUAAAGGCCGUGUAGGGUGCAAGCGCGUGCCACUGGAAUUACUGGGCGUAAAGCGUGGGUAUGCAGGCGGUUCGGAAAGAAAGAUGAUGUGAAAUCCCAGUGAGCUUAACUUUGGAACUGCAUUUUUAACUACCGAGCUGAGAGUGUCAGAGGAGGAAUUCGCAGAGCAGGAAAUGAUAGAUAUGGAGGAACACCGAUGGCGAAGGCAGCCUCCUGGGAUAACACUGACGCUCAUGCACGAAAGCAAGAGCAGCCAGGAUUAGAUACUCCUGGUAGUCCAUUUUCCUAAACGAUGUCAACCAGCUGUUGGGGCUCUCGGGCCCUGGUAGCGCAGCUAACGCGUGAAGUUGACCGCCUGGGGAGUACGGUCGCAAGAUUAAAACUCAAAGGAAUUGGAUUUGGGACUCCGCACAAGCGGCGGAUGAUGUGGAUUAAUUCGAUGCAACGCGAAAACCUUACCUACCCUUGACAUGUCUUGAAUCCUGAAGAGACUGGGGGAGUGCUCGCAAGAGAACCGGAACACAGGUGCUGCAUGGCUGUCGUCAGCUCGUGUCGUGAGAUGUUGGGUUAAGUCCCCGCAACGAGCGCAACCUUGUCAUUAAUAAGCUACGAAAGGGCACUCUAAUGAGACUGCCGGUGACAACCGGAGGAAGGUGGGGAUGACGUCAAGUCCUCAUGGCCUUAUGGGUAGGGCUUCACACGUCAUACAAUGGUCGGGACAGAGGGUCGCCAACCCGCGAGGGGGAGCCAAUCCCAGAAACCCGAUCGUAGUCCGACUGGCAGUCUGCACCAUCUGUGUGCAAGCCGGAACGCCAGCAUCUGCAGAUCAGCAUGUCGCAGCGAAUACGUUCCCGGGUCUUGUACACACCGCCCGUCACAUUCGCGGGAGUGGUUUUACCAGGAAGUGAACAGCUCAACCGUAAGGAGGGCGAUUACCACGGUAGGAUUCAUGACUGGGCGUGUUUUCUGCAAUAAGGUAA